GAGGAGACAACUCCUAAUAUUCACUGAGUCUAUCAGCAAGAACAUAAACUACCAAAAGCUCCAGAAUCUGGUUUUGGACUCUCAGCUUGGCAUUAACUCCCAGCUCAAGCUCAGGACUGGGGACCAAAUAUAUCAACUCAGUGUCAGCAUUAGUUGGAGACUUGAUUUUACUAAUGACCCAAAGGGGACACAGACCUCUAUAAACAUUAACCCUUCAAAGUCCUGCAGCGUGCCAGUUGCAGAGAAGGUGUUUUUGGAGCACAGCAGAACUACCCAUGAUAUAAGCCAAACGCUGAGCGAAAAUAUUUUAUUUGCACACCAGCCAAUAUAUGAGAUGCAACUACAGGGAUUUAAACACGAUACUCAGGCUCAUUAGCAAAGCAAGCAUAGAUAACAAGGAUUUACUGAACAUUACCGUCUGACUUGGCCAGCUCUCCCAGAGGGAUCAUUAAGAUGACAUCUCUGAUGCUGAGCGUGUGGUGUACGUGCACAGCUGUACGAGCAAUGGGGAGUGCAUGGCUGCAAAACUGCAUUCUGCUCUCAGAGUAGGAAGAAUGAAAGAAUGAAACAUGUCAGAUGUCCAUCACGACACAGAGCACUGCUGGAAGGAAUACGGAUAACACAGCAAGGAAAGUGAUAUAGAAGAGGAGCAGAUUAGCAUCAAUAUUUUCCAUUUAAAGAAAAAAUAAAGCUUUCAGCUGCACUUUGGUUUAUUUUUAAGAUUUGACUCCAAUCUAUUGCUGUAUAAUGUAGCACUAUCACUUUUGAAGUUAAAACCAUUAUUUGCCACAGGCAG
ensembl:lncRNA